GCCCAGAUAGCUCAGUCGGUAGAGCAGUGGACUGAAAAUCCUCGUGUCGGUGGUUCGAUUCCGCCUCUGGGCACCA
rnacentral:tRNA from 3 species